rnacentral:rRNA from 1 species
UACAGAGGGGGCAAGCGUUGUUCGGAAUUAUUGGGCGUAAAGGGCGCGUAGGCGGUGCCACAAGUCACUUGUGAAAUCCCCGGGCUUAACUCGGAGCCUGCAGGCGAAACUGUGGUGCUGGAGUAUGGGAGAGGUGCGUGGAAUUCCCGGUGUAGCGGUGAAAUGCGUAGAUAUCGGGGGGAACACCAGUGGCGAAGGCGACUUCCUGGCCUGUUCUUGACGCUGAGGCGCGAAAGCUAGGGUAGCAAACGGG